GACAGAGGGUGCAAGCGUUGUUCGGAAUUACUGGGCGUAAAGCGCGUGUAGGCGGCUCUGCAAGUCGGAUGUGAAAUCCCACGGCUCAACCGUGGAAGUGCAUUCGAAACUGCAGGGCUAGAGUCCUGGAGAGGAAGGUGGAAUGCUUGGUGUAGAGGUGAAAUUCGUAGAUAUCAAGCGGAACACCGGUGGCGAAGGCGGCCUUCUGGACAGUGACUGACGCUGAGACGCGAAAGCGUGGGGAGCAAACAGG
rnacentral:rRNA from 1 species